rnacentral:lncRNA from 1 species
GCGUCACGCAGCGCACGUCGCCGCGCGCCUGCGCUCUUUUCCACGUGCGAAAGCCCCGGACUCGUGGAGUUGUGAACGCCGCGGACUCCGGAGCCGCACAAACCAGGGCUCGCCAUGAAGCCAGGAUUCAGUCCCCGUGGGGGUGGCUUUGGCGGCCGAGGGGGCUUUGGUGACCGUGGUGGUCGUGGAGGCCGAGGGGGCUUUGGCGGGGGCCGAGGUCGAGGCGGAGGCUUUAGAGGUCGUGGACGAGGAGGAGGUGGAGGCGGCGGCGGCGGUGGAGGAGGAGGAAGAGGUGGCCACCCCCCAAGGUGAAGAACUGAAGUUCAGCGCUGUCAGGAUUGCGAGAGAUGUGUGUUGAUACUGUUGCACGUGUGUUUUUCUAUUAAAAGACUCAUCCGUCUCCC